GACAGAGGGUGCAAACGUUGUUCGGAAUUACUGGGCGUAAAGCGCGUGUAGGCGGCUCGGCAAGUCGGAUGUGAAAGCCCUGGGCUUAACCUAGGAAGUGCAUUCGAAACUCCCGAGCUUGAGUUCUGGAGAGGGAAGCGGAAUUCUCGGUGUAGAGGUGAAAUGCGUAGAUAUCAAGUGGAACACCAGUGGCGAAGGCGAAUCCCUGGAAAAUACCUGACACUGAGGCACGAAAGCUAGGGGAGCAAACAGG
rnacentral:rRNA from 1 species